rnacentral:lncRNA from 1 species
UAUUAAAUUGCAAAGAUAACUUCUCUGGCCCUACCCACCUGGCCACCCACACGAAGAGAUGGAGAAAACUCACAUACAAUCUCCUCCGCCACUCCCACGCCCCAUUACCUCUUCAAUUUUUUGCUUCUCAUUCAUUCCUCUGCAAAUUUGUUAUUUCUCUUUCGCCUCCACCCUCUCGUGGCGCAGCUAUUCGCGCCGCCUCGUUCUGGAGAUUUUCACAAGUUCUUAAAUGGUAUGAACCCUAACUUGUCUAAUUGACCUUGUAGGAGGUACGAAUUUGCUUGUGGAUUUUGAAUUCAAAUAUUAGCUCGUGGCCGUGGAUAGGUAGGAGGGGCAUACAGUAAAGGUGAAAUAAUCGAUAGCUUCACUAUGGGUCAGAGGUUAGGAAUUUUUUACUUAUUUAUUAUUUAUGUUUGGGAAUUAUAUUUUGUGAAUUUUUUUUGUUGUGGUGGUUUUCACUGAAUUUGAAUUUUAUAUAGAUGUUUAGUAAAUUACUUGAGAUUUGAUGUGGAAGUUUACCAUUGUUGCCGCCGUUGACACCUGAUUGAGCAAUGCUUGCUAAAUUCUUCACUAUAAAUGCAAGUCCUUAUUUACGAAGGAUUGAUUGUUGGUAUGAUUGUUGUUGACUUGUUGUUCUUUAUUAGCCUACUAGCUUUUUAUCGAAAAUGAAUCUUAUGUGCCUUCCUUCCAGAACCUUUUGAUAUGUAUUGAUUAAAUUUUGCCUCUAUGUGUGAAGUGUACUCUUGGAUUUUAUAUGUAUGAAUUUAUAUACUCAUUGUUUGCUUGGGUGGAAAUAGGGUUAUUUCAGCUUUAUUGAUUAACUGGAUGAUAUAUUUGAUAGGAAACACUCAAAGAACAACUAUUUCUUGGUUAGUUUUACUACCUACGGUACACAUUGUUCAUAUUAUAUUAUAGUGUUAUUAAAUAACAAAAUAAUCCUGCAUAGAGAAUUAAAUGAAAUUUGAUAAAGAAAUCCAUGGUAAGUUUAUUUUUCCUAUUCAAUAAUGGGGGAUUUGUAAUUGGACGUUUGAAAAUCUUAAAGAAAUAGGCUGAUUUGUAGCUCUUUGUGCAAAAUCUUAAAGAAACUCCUAUUCUACCCGCUCCCUAGUUAAGUCAAAAAUUGAUAGUAUUACUUAAGGAUACAUGGGAAAAGCUGAAUUAAAGAAAAAUGACGCAGGUGAUUAUCAUAGUAAUCAGUGAUGAAUAUAUAAACAAUUAUGAUUAUAGUGUGUGUAUACAGUUGAUUUCUUGGCCCCAAGGAAGAUAAUUUAUAUCAUUGCUUUAGCAAUGUGCAGCAAGCACUUAACUGAUGCAUACACCUCUAUGUUUACAGGAACAAAAAUUUGCCAUGUUUGAGAAUGGCCAAGUUUCUGAUAUUCGACAUUUUGUAGGGUUCAAUUGUUGCUUGAUAACUUGUUUCACAGGAAGAGUUCUAAACUUAUAUCUGUUUUGUAAGUUUCAAUUCCUGUUGAGUUUAGUUUGGAUUGAAUAUUCCCUCCCUCCCUUUGGAUCUGUUUCGACCUACUUUUUGGCUGAACUCACUGAUGUCUUGCUGAUGAUGCUCAUUUUUCUAUUGAGUGUUGAGUUCAUUUGUUGAGAUAUUAAACACAACUUAGAGAUCUAAAGUUGUUUGUUAUGAAUUCUUUGAGUUCGGAGAUUUAUGCGCUACAUGAAUUUGUUUAAUACAUUGCAUUUUGCAGAAGAUCGACACCAAGAAAGGCAGCUGCUGCUCAUAGCUCAUUUUUCUACUAAGUGUUGAGUUCAUGUGUUGGGUAUAUUCAACAAAACUUAGAGUUCUAUAUAUGUUUGUUAUAAAUUUUGAUUUGGAAGAUUUGUGCCUAUAGGAUCUGAUUGACACUUUUCGAUAAGUGAUUGCAUUUUGCAGAUGCUUUUCAAUAAUGGAGAUUUGCAUUUUGCAGAAGACAGCGGAGAAGGCAGCUGCUCGCAACUUUGAAAGAGAAUUAUGUCUUAGCUAUCUCGUUAGAUAGUUAUUAUGUUAGUACUACUACUUCAAGAGCUUAUAAGAUUCUAUAGAUUUUGUAAUUUUGUAAAUUUUUUCAGGUCACUUUUUUAUUGAUACGACUUUGUAUAUUUCUUUUUCAAAUUUGAAAUAAAUAGAAAAUAUUUUAUUUCU